AUUGAACGCUGGCGGCAGGCCUAACACAUGCAAGUCGAGCGGGGUUUUCGGACCUAGCGGCGGACGGGUGAGUAAUGCGUAGGAAGCUGCCCGAUAGAGGGGGAUACCAGUUGGAAACGACUGUUAAUACCGCAUAAUGUCUACGGACCAAAGUGUGGGACCUUCGGGCCGCAUGCUAUCGGAUGCGCCUACGUGGGAUUAGCUAGUUGGUGAGGUAAUGGCUCACCAAGGCGACGAUCUCUAGCUGGUUUGAGAGGAUGAGCAGCCACACCGGAACUGAGACGCGGUCCAGAAUCCUACGGGAGGCAGCAGUGGGGAAUAUUGGACAAUGGGCGCAAGCCUGAUUCAGCCAUGCCGCGUGUGUGAAGAAGGCCUUCGGGUUGUAAAGCACUUUCAGCGAGGAGGAAGGGGUGUGUGUUAAUAGUACACACCUUUGACGUUACUCGCAGAAGAAGCACCGGCUAACUCUGUGCCAGCCGCCGCCGUAAUAC
rnacentral:rRNA from 1 species